GUCUUUGGACGACAUCUGAAUGACACACAACGUGAUAGUACAUUGACUCCAGUGCACUUGAAGUUGUCCGGUGAUCUGUCCAUGGAUGGAUCCUGAGUGUCCAAGGCUCGCCCCAGCAGAGCAUCCUGUGUCAAGGAUGGAAGUGGGUGUGUGUUCCAUGGCUCGCUCUUGCUCCCUGUGCUCCCCAAGGAGGCCAAGUGGAGAUAUUUCAGGGUGGGAGCCUGCUACAGCCCUCAGCAUCCCAGGUCCCCAUGUAGGAGUUUUCUGUAGGACACAUCGGGGUAGUCCUUUCAGUCCCUUAGCUCAGCUCAGGAGUCCACUGGACCCCGUCAUCAUCUGUUUGCACCUUCCCAACCUGCUCGGUGCAGACAGCCUGCCCAGGCUAUGUCCUGGGCGCCCUGGGACUCUGCGUAAGUGGAUAGUUCCAUGUUUGAGGGACUCAUGUACCUUGGGCACGGUGUGUUUCGUGUUAAGCUUCGUUCACCCCCUUCCCCACUUGGAAAUCCCUGCUGGUUUCUCCAGGAGGUCACCAAAGAAGGCCACUGUCCCACAGACUCCCUGCGGAAAUGCAUGCGGUCCCAUCAGGCAGGCACACCCAGCCUCACGAGAGCCCGGGUCCUGGGCCGGCACAAGAGACCCUGUGUUGAGGUGGUUGGUUUGCAGAUCGCUCCGAUGAAGCAGCUUGUGAAGGAGGUUCCCCGGGCAGCCUCCAGGGAGUUCUUCUGAAGUGGUUGACAAUUAAUUUGGUGGAUGAUUUCAUCCCGCUGGAUCAUUAUCCUGGGAGCCACUCCACAGAACAAAGGACCAGGGCAGAUGUGGGGCUGGGUGUGUCUGGGUAACAGCCGGGGCUCCGGAGAAAGAAGGUCUUUGUCAUGCUGGGGGCCUCCCUGGGGAUCUGAGCUGGGAGAGCAGCCAGAAGCGGGCCGGCUGUGCGGGCGGGUGUGCUCACGUUGGGGGCGUGUCCCUGGGCGGUCCCCGUUGACCCUACGGAGCCAGCCGGACGUUUGGGGACAACUCCCGAGGAGGAAAUCAUUCUGCAGAGAUGGCACAAUCCAGGAAGGGCAUGGAGCAGCCAGUCUGCCCAGAUUGUCCUCUUCUCCGGGGCUGGAUCCCACCGUCUUUCCACCUUCAGAAAAAAGCAACGCGUGUAGGAAAAUGAAAUCAGGAAUGACUCCCUACGCCCUGGACGCUCGGGUGUUGUUCUUGUCGGGUGAUUGGACUUAGGAAGAGUUUUCUUUGCUCCCUUUUUGCACAAUUCUGUAUUUUAUUUUGGUGACAGAUACUGGAGGGUCCAUUGUGUAGAUCUUUUCCAAGAACCAGAGUUUCCUCUCUUUGAUUUUUUUUUUUCUUCUUCUUCUGUCGAUUUCCUGUUCGUCAUUGCACGGAUUUCUUCUUUCGUGUUUGGUCUUUCUUCUGCUUCUGGAUGUGCUCACCCUUCCCCUGACUUUUCUUUCUACGGUGUCGGAAAAACACAGGUUGGCAGCCAAGGGAUACAGAAGCGUGUCCCCAGAACGUGCCGCAUUUCAGGACAGCUGCUCUGAGAUCUGGGGGCUUGUGUUUCUUGGAAAAGAAGAUCUGGGGGCACCUCAGAGGGCUCCAUUGGCGAAGCAACUGCCUUCGGCUCAGGUCGUGAUCCCAGGGUCAUGGGAUGGUGUUCUGCUUCAGGCUUCCAUUGUUCCUCUGGAAUGUUCCAGAAACAAUGUCACACACCGCAGUUGGGGUCCCAGGCUCCUUAAUUUAUUUUUUCUGCCAUUGACCUUCAUGUCCCAAAGGGGUGGUGUGUAGUUGUUCGAAACGGGUCUGACUUUCACUGCCCUGCCAUGAUGGGGCUCGCAUGGGAAUGUGCCUUAGGUCAAAAUUGUGGUCUGUGGCUCCUGCCCCUCCCGGGCGAGAGUCAGGCCCGGGAUGUAGCAGACGGACCCUUCCCUCGGUUUCUUGGUUCAUGAUGGGAUCCCAUCGUGCUUGCCGUCUACCUGGCUCACCUGCCUCUUGAGAAGGUGAAGAAGGAUUGAUUGUUACCCUAAUGUAGGGACUCGGCUGGGGAAUAGUUUCCGGUGUCUGUCUUGGACCCUCAGGCCCCUUCCCUCCUGAAGCCUCCUGGGGGAUGAUGUGGGAGCCCUGUAGUCAUUGGGGAAGCAGGAUUGAGCUAUGGGAACUGGAUAUCCCUGAAGAUGGGGAAGGAAGGUUGGAGGGAGAUGGUUGGGGGCAAGCAGAGUCUCAUCAUGUUGUCCAGGAGUGCCUUUCAUCCUAGAGGCUGUGGCUUGAAGUGGGAACCCUUAGCAGCAGUGAAUGGAAGACGUUCUACAUCUGGCUGUGAUUUCUCCAAGAACAUGUUCUUUGGUCAAGACUUUCAGGAUGCCCGGAUUUCGUAUACGGCAUGUCUUCCCUGCAUUUGCAGUUCAUUGAACACCUCUUGAGUGAACUCUUUGGUUGCAUGAUGGCUCGCUACUAUGAGCUCAUCACCAAGACCAAAGUGGUUCUCCAGGUGGGGUGUGGAGAGCCUUCUGGUGACUCCAUGAGUCAAGGGUCCUUUCAUGGUACCAUGAAGAUAUUUUUCAUCCUUUUCUCUCUUUCUCUCUCUCUUGCCUGGGCAUGUGGCUAUUUCCGGAGGCUCCCCGACCUUGGGACGGUAUCACCUGUGACCAUCAGCAGACUGUCCUUACUCACUCUUCUGUUUUAGACAUUUGUGCUUUGCUUGCUGAUACGGUUACUAUCUCCAGAGAGCGAUGCCCACAAACAAGCAGACAUGGGUUACGGUCCCCGAUCUGUUUCUGAAGGUCUUUGCCAAAGAAUCUUGAGAUCGGGGAGCUUGAAAACUCUUGUUUUAAACCAGUGCCCCAGUCUAAGAGGUUCUUGACGGACCACCAACAGGGACUGACUGAUGGGGAAUCUUAUGUACAGAGAGCCUUCAGGGAAUGAAACGCCUCACUAUGCCCCAAUUAUGUGGCUUGAAUUCUCGUUUUUCAUCUUGCGCCACCGAAGGGAACGGGUCGCUUGGUUCAAAAUCGAAUGCUACCGGUUGCAUUGCUUCUUAGGAACUCUGGGUGUCCCCAUCGUGAUGUAGGUUUGGGUUAUCUUUGCAAAGGCAUCAUUUAGGCUGUUCUGAAAGUGAUAAUUAGCGUGUCCCCUGGGCGAGGAACUGCAGAGUUUAUUUGGGGGACAUUAAAAGAUAGGAUGUAGUUUACAUUUCCCAGAAGCUUACUAAUACUGAUAACUGAGAAAAGGUCAUUGUGUUCAGGGUUGUAAUCAAGGUGCCAAGAAGGAACUGGGAUCUGAUAGCAGAUGUUCAGGGCUGAGUAGGGUUUCGGGUAAACACAAGUGGGGAGGAAGCACGCAGCUUCUGAGGCGCUCCAGGACCAAGUUCUCCUAAUGCUUUUGGUCUCCGCACCCCCAGCCUCCCUCACACAUGGAAACUUUCUGAGUCACUCUUCCUGGUGUCCGUCUUCUUCUUCAGUGGGAAGAAACCGCAAACCCGGUGUUUAUCAGGAGGUUACCCUGUGUGAGGCAUCGAGAUAAGUAAAGACAUGUGAUCCGAGAAAACGCAGAUAAUUCAGGGCACCUAAGAGAAGACUGAUGAAAACCAAAAGAGGAACACAGGAGACCUUUUUAGAGUCCUGUUUUCAGGGAAGUUGGAGAAGAUACUGUUUCCAUCAGCGAAAAUAGGAUGUAACAGCGAAAGAGAAACCAUUGUGAUUGGGAUUGCGGAAAGUUUAAAUAAUUAAAACAGUAAAUUCCCCCAGAUCAAAGGGUGUCUUGGUCCUGCUUGCUUCAUGUCCACUCACCAUGGAGGUGUUGGCUGCCAGAGGCACAGCUCUGAUCUACACCUUUCUCUUGAGUGAGCAUGGGGGGCAUGUCUCUGAAGCAGUGUCUGUUGGGGGUCCACAUCUCCCCAAAACCAGGAAGCCCAUUGUUGUACAUUCCUGGGGCUGUUCUGACAAAUCCCUGCAAACCUGGUGGCUUACAAGAACAGAAAUUUAUGCUCCCCCAGCUCUGGAGACCAGAGUCUGAGAUCCAGGUGGGGAGGGCCAUGUUCCUCUUCAGGUCUGCAGGGAGGGUCCUUCCUGCCUCUUCCAGCUUCUGGGGCUCCAGGCAUUCCUGGGCUGGUGGCCAUGUCUUUCCAUCUCUGCCUCCCAUCUUCAUGUGGCUUCUUCUCUGUAUCUGUGUCCCUGCUCUUCUGUGUCUUACCCUUAUCAUUGGAUUUAGGGCCAUCCUAAAGCAGGAUGACCUCUUCUUGAAAUCUUCAACUUCAUUACAUCUGCAAAGACCCUGUUUCCAAAUAAUACCACAUUCGCAUGUACUAGGGCUCAGGACAUGGACCUGCCUCUCUGGGUGGACACAGUUCAGCCCAUGACACCCUUCAUCCUUGACAUGUCCACAGGAUGGUGCCAUGUGGAAUUUUGGACCUUCUUCCCCCAAACCAAACCACUCAGCAGAUCCCUGAACACCUGCCAAGGCUUCUGGUAGAUGACCGCAGCUUCUCAUGCUGACACCAUCCCCUGGAGACUUGUCCACCCUCCCUCUGCUUCCCACCACCCCCCUCCACUGCCGCCAUCUUGGCUCUGCAUCUCCCUGUCACCCCUGCUCUUCACCCUUGGCUCUAGGCUCUGUCCUGAUUGGUAUCACUGCCCUGGCUCUUCCUCCCAGUGGCUUCUAUCAUGACAAGGACAUCUUUAAAACAAAA